rnacentral:lncRNA from 1 species
GGGACUACAGGCGCCUGCCACGACGCCCGGCUAAGUUUUUGUAUUUUUAGUAGAGACGGGGUUUCACCGUGUUAGCCAGGAUGGCCUGGAUCUCCUGACCUCGUGAUCCGCCCGCCUUGGCCUCCCAGAGUGCUGGAUUCCAGGCGUGAGCCACCGCGCCCGGCCCCUCUUUCUCCAUCUUUAAAGACAGCAGGACAUGGAGAACAACCACGGCUGUGCCCGGUUCUUCAGGUGGCUGCCAGUCCCCCCGUGCCUGCUCCCUGUCCCUGCCUGCCUUCCCGCUGAUGAUGACUGACGUUCUGGGACGGAGGAGCAGGUUAGGCCUAGGUACAGUUGUGUGCUGGUAAAUUUGUAACAAAAGGCUCUCCAGGGGAAGAAAAGCCCUGAUUUUCAGUGUUUGCCAAUUUCCACGGUAUUAAAAGUACUCACACCAAGGCCGGUUUUAAGCAGUGCUCCUGAAGUCCCUGAAGACAGAGUUGAAAAGCAUCGUGCACAGUUGACUCUUCUAAGCUAGUCCGAGCUGGCUCCAACACACUACUGCCUAUAAAAAGAGGAAGUAUUCUAGAGAAUAUAAAAAGACUUCUUGAGUACUAAGAGGUCGUGAAGACAGCUUUGGAAAUGUUAUAAGCGUCAAGAUUCGCUCAAGAUACACCUGCUUCUCUUGCAAAAGGUACACCGCUUGUUCUACAUUAUC